AGUAUGUCUUUAUCAGCAGUGUGAAAACAGACUAAUACACUGCAUGUUCUCACUUAGAAGUAGAAGCUAAAUGAUGAGAACUCACAGACACAAAGACAGACACAAUGGAUACUCAGCCCUACUUGAGAGUGGAGGAUGGGAGGAAGCAGAGGAGCAGAAAAAAAUAAAUAUUGGGUACUAGGCUUAGCAUCUGGGUGAUGAAAUGAUCUGUACAACAAACCUCCAUGACACAAGUUUACCUAUAUAACAAACCUGCACAUGUACCCCAAAACCUGAAAGUUAAAAGUCACUAAGCCAGUUAAAUGAGAUUAUUGUUAACAACCUAAUAUACAAAUUGUGCUCUCUCUACUAAUCUCUGUAGAUAGUUUGAGCCCAGUCCUUAAUUCUCUUUGGCAAGAAUUGCAAAUUACCUUUAGCUACGGAUUUCAUUGUUCAAUUGGUUUUAAUUACAGCGUUUUCCAUUACUCAUCAUUUUCCUUAUUUCAAAUUAAGCCUCUCUUUUACUUCUUCCCUUAAGAGGAAAUGAGUGUUUGUCUUUUCUCAAACCUUCCUUUACAUAUUUGUAUCACAUGCCUUUUGUUUGCCUUUCUGGAAUAAACCCACUGUUCUCUCAUGUCCACAGAUGCCUCAUCAUCCCAGCAUAAAUUAUUCCAAUGUUUCAUGUAUUUACUUUUUUAAAUUUUAAAAAAUAGCCUGCCUUUCUUCUUCUGAGAUGCAAUAAUAUAAAGAAACAUGGACAGCCUAUUUCUUGUGCUUCAAAGAACAUAUUCCUAAUAAUUUGGGCCACUAUUUUGUUCCAUUCUAGUGUUUUUAUUGUGUGUGGAAAAAUCCUUCAGGUUAAUUCCUCAGUUUUACUCAGAACUAGAAUGCCUGGCAGUGUGAGGUCAGUGUUAUCACCAAUUCUCAACCAGCAUCAGGAAGGACCACACUUAACCCAGCUGUGACUGAUAAAUAACUCCUGGCUUAGCAGAAACUGUGAGCUUGUGUGCGAUGGUUAAGCAAUGUAAUAAAGGAACCAGCUCUAGUGGAGAGACUCUGAGCUCCAGAAGACUCACUGAGAAUGUCACCUUUGCUAGGAGAACAAACCCUAGAUAGCUUUCUGGAAGAUGAGAGACCACAUGGAACAGAGACCAAUGAUCUCGGCUGAAGACAACUUCAACCAGUUCCCGGCUGACCCACCAACUGACCACAGAUGCAAGAGUGAGCUUAACCAAGAUCAGCUGAGGUUGGCCCAGAUCAGCAGAACCACCAACCCAGUCCUAAGUUCACAAACAAAAAUAAAUUUUCAUUGUUACAUACCACUGUGAAGGAAAUGGCUGUGCUUUACUCAGUAGUAGUCUGAGGUGGCUGCCUGGUGCAGCAUGACUUAGCAGGGUUUGGAAUGCAGGCGCACAACUCUGCUUGUUAUAUAACCAUGCCACGUGAGGUGCAUUAGGUGAUCACUCAUCUGAGCUCGUACUUGGCUCACAGCCACUAUUGUCUGUAAAGGUGUAAUUACUCUACUUAAGGCUGUACAUACAGCUUGCGGUUUGCACCUGCGGCUGACACCCAGGCUCACUCACGCCCAGAGAGAGAGUAAAAGCCAUGUCAAAACUGUGUACAAUUCUUCGAGUAUUUUUCCAGCUACCUGCCAUUGGUCUAUCCACUCCCCUCAGUCCUCAGUUUGGGCUGGAACCUGACACUUGGCAUGAAAACUGGCAUCACGAACAGGAUCCCAAGGUGGGUGAGCCUUUGGUCCCCGCUGAUUCUUGGUUGGCUCUGUGGCCACAACAUGGGUUGUGGUACCAGACUGCAGCUGUGCUGUGAGGAUGGGCUCUGGUGGAGACUGGGCGGUGGUAGGUGGGUCCCUUGUGAGCAUGGAGAAGGCCCUGAAGUUGCUGGAAGCACAGAGCACUGAGAAGGAAGGAGCCUUUGCUGGCAGAAUUGGAUGGGCAUUUUUGACUGCGCUUGGAGUACACACCCAGUCCCUGAGGGAUGCCACAGACGUAAGGGCUUUGCAGACAUAGGCGAGGCACCUGGAGGCCUGGCUACACAGUUCAGAAAAAGAAUUAGAAGCUGCCAUGAAUGGGGACCUCCAGGCACCCCCUGGAAGCCUGGCUACAGAGCUUGAAAAAGGAAUUAGAGGCUGCUGUGAAUGCAGGCCUGGAGGCCAUUGGUGGGACCGAGGGGUCUGUGCAGUAAAGAAGGGGAAGAUGCCCAUGGGAAAAUAGGGGACCCCAACCAGUAACACACUCAAAGAUGUGGAUAGAUUUGAUUUUGGCCAGGGUUGAGAAACAGAAAAUUGAUAAGCAGCCCAAUGAAGUACUCUUAACUUUGUGGAGACAGUUGCCUCUGGAACAGCAAUUCCAGAAAAUGCCCAAGAGGAAGAAGGGGAGAAGGACAUUGCUGCGUGAUCUGGUCCCACCUGGGGUGUUCCAGCUCAAAGACUAUGUACUGAAGCAAGGCAGGGAUGUAAAGCCUUUUCUGUUUAUGAGGGAACUGGCCGAGGUGCCCAGCUUGAGGGGACACUGGGCAACCAGAAGCCACAUGUGAAAUUGACAAGCCACUGGUCCCUGCACCCAGAUAAGUUUCCAGGCAAGGCUGCAUAGACAGCUAUGAAAUGUCUAUGGUCAAUGAAAGUGAAAUCUGUAUCUCUGCACCUUGGCAUCAGCCACCUGGCCCCUGGUUAUGCACUGUGUAUGUCUCUCCCAUACCUGUAUACAUUCUGGGGGUGGACACUUUACACAGCUUGACAGCUGUCUCAUCUAUCACAUAUUUGAUGGACUACUUGACAACAGAAUUGGGACAGUACCACUAUGGGGUGGACUUGACUAAUGCAUUUUUUUUUACAGAGUCAGGAACAAUUUGCCUUCAUGGGAAGGUGACAAUGGACUUUCACAGUGUUACUGCAGGGCUAUGUGCAUAGCCCCACCAUAUGUCAUGGUCUUGUUAAUGAUAUUAUCCAUGGUCUUUUUAAUGCUAUCAAGCUAACCUCUAAUUCUCUUGCAGAUUUAGAAUCGGCAGUGCUCCUCUUGCCUGAGAUUGCAAUGGUGCAGCUGAGACCACCUUCCUGGCAGCCAAGUGGGCUAUUCAGCAGGAAUAAGCCCUGUGGAUAGUUGAGCAGGGGCUCCCAUUCGAGCUGGAUGUGCAUGUGACCACAGAUGGUUUCAGCUGGGGCCUGUGGCAGCACACGGAGUGCUUGAGAACACCAGUAGGCUUUUGAUCCCAACUAUGAAAGGGAGCUGAGCUCUGGUAUUCCUUGAUAGAGCAGCAGUUAGUAACUGCAUGUGCUGCCCUUCAGGUUCAUGAGAGCUUGGCAGGAUUGGUUACAAUCUUCAUGCAGACAACUUACCCAAUAGCAGGAUGAGUGCAUUCAUGGAUAAUGACCCCCUGGACUGGGAUGGGGGAGACAUCCACUUUGGCAAAGUGGAGUGCCUACUUGGAGCAGCAGAGUACACUGAGCACAAGUCCCUUAGAAGUCUUGGGAGCUGCAGUCCUAUGCAAGAUAAGGCCAUGGGGCCUGAGGCACCCCUAGAAUUUGAGCCUUUACCAUUUAAAGAAGGACAUCCCUCCAUUCCCAAUGGGGCAUGGUACACAAAUGGGUUUAGCUGAGGUGGUACUGCUGCCUGGACCACUGUUGCAAUCCAACCUAGUACUGACACCAUAUGGUUUGAAACCGGGUGUGGGCAAAGUAGCCAAUGGGCUGAACUUAAAGCAGUAUGGAUGGUGAUCACCAAGGAGGUGACACCUAUAGAAAUGUGCACUAAUAGCUGGGAAGUUUAUCGAGGCUUAACCUUGUGGUUAACUACCUGGAAGUUACAAAAUUAGCUAUUUGUUCACCGGCCCACGUAGGCCAAGCCAUGUGGCAAGAUCUAUAGGAGGAAGAAUGACCUUCUCUGACCAGGUAUAGGGAUGAACAGUAACCUAUUGUUGCCUGUCCUGAUGCCCCUGAAGUCAGAAGAACAGAAAAAUUGGCUGUGGCCAUGGACCCUCCAACCCCCCAACUGCCUGUGGUUGGCCAUCAUAGCUCCCUGGGAGAAGUGCCUACAGUAUGAAUUGCCUGUCACUCCUUGGCUGUUCAGUGCAUGCCCCCCAUGGUUGACUGUUCAUAGGGAAACAGCCAGGGGAUGAACCCUCCUCUGGGGGGCAUAUGUAAUAUCUGUGUUGCCUAUUAUGAGCUCCCCUGUGACUGUGGCACAGACACAGGACCCAAAGCAACCAUGGGGAGGUGGAAGGUGUGGUAUUAUCAGCCAGAGCAGAAGCCCUUGGUAGGUGCAUUGUUAUCCAGGGAUGGAAAGUUAGCCUGUUAUUGUUGUUGUGGGUUAAGGAUUCAGGGAUCUGCCCUUUGGGCACAUGUCCCUGCACAGAGGAUGCUUUCAGCCUAUGGGGUGGAGUGUAAGGGAAAUGGCUGCAUGUUAUUUUGCAGUAGGUUGAGGAAGCCUCCCAGCGCAGCAUGAAUCAGUAGGUUUGGAGUGUAAGUGCACAACUUCACACAUUAUGUAACCAACACUGUGUGAGGCACAUUAGGUGAUCACUCACAUGAGCUUGUGCUUGUCUCAAAGCCACUAUUGUCUGUAAAAGGUAUAAUUACCCUGCUAAUGCUUUACAUAUGGCUUGCAGCUCAUGCCCAGGCCCAUGCCCAGGCUUGUGCCCAGGCUUGUGGCUUGCACCCAUGGCUCAUGCCCAGGCUCGCUUGUGCUGAGAUAGAGUAAGAACCGUGUCAAAACCGUCUGUGAUUCCUCAAGUGUUUUUCCAGCUCCCUGCCACUUGUCCACCCACUGCCCUCGGUCCCCAGCUUGGGCUGGAACCCGACACUUAGGAUGACAAGCAUUAUGGUCUUGUGGAUGUUAAUUAGACAGCAUUAUUAUAGCAUAAAAAAAAGGCACAAGCCCAUUUCUAAUAAUUAUUGUAUUUUCCUAACCAGUACAUAUGAUUUUUUUUAGAUUAUCUUGUUUUCUGUUCAUGAUCGCUUGACAUUCUAUCUCUUAUUUUAUUAAAAGUUGUGACAUUCUU
rnacentral:lncRNA from 1 species